GUUCUGGACUUAUGGGUGUCCUGGCAGUCAUUAUAUUCUCUUCUUCUGUUUAUUCUUGCCUGAAGCUAUCAACACAAGUGGAAUUUUUACCACGAAAUACAGAAUCACACACAAGAGAGGUGUUUCCUGAGCAACUGAAAUGAUCCAGGGACGGCACACAGUGACUGCAAAUGAUUGGAGAUGAACGGAUGUGCCCUUUCCCGCGCCCGCAGGCAAGCUGGGCGGGGUGCCCCUCACUCCCACAGCAGCCCCUCAGUGCUGGGCACAGGCCCGCUCAUUAGGGGACGGCCAACCCUGAAGCGACCGCAGGCGGUGGGAAAAGAGACCGCACAGCUCGGGGCAGCUGGAGCCCAGGGCUGCGUGUCAGCGGCAGAAGCGUCCUGGAGCAGAUCCUCUGGGAAGAGGCCCUGGAGCCUGGGGGCGACCAACAGGUUUCCCAUGCUAACUGAUUUCAGAGGAGGAACGGAUUUCCUGUCCAAAGCCUCCAAGCCACCCUCUUCCCAGACUUGGAAAAUAGUGGGCCAGAUCAGUCUCCCAAGAUGA
rnacentral:lncRNA from 1 species